rnacentral:lncRNA from 1 species
CCAAACAACGAUGAUCAUUUGUAUCGUUUGUAGACAUUGGGAGAACAAACUCUAUGUAUAUAUGUGUUACGAAUUUUGUACAUAUAAAACUAUAUAUAUAUAUAUAAAGCUUUUUACAUAUAUAUUUAAUUUUUGAUGUGGUCUAUUUAUUUUAUUAUAGGCAAAGCUUAACUAUUAAGCUUAGCCUAUAAUUUUCAUUUAUAUAUGCUUAAUAUGCGUGUAAUAUAAAUAUAUUAUUGUAUCAGCAAAACAUGUAUUGAAAAAUCUAUUAUUAUAUAUUAUAUAUAAACAAUAAACAGAACCGAAGAAGUGAACCAAAAAAAAGAAAAAGAAACCCUUUAACACC